CCCCUACGGGGCGCAGCAGUGAGGAAUAUUGGUCAAUGGCCGAGAGGCUGAACCAGCCAAGUCGCGUGAGGGAAGACGGCCCUACGGGUUAUAAACCUCUUUUGUCGGGGAGCAAAAGCCGGACGUGUCCGGCUGUGAGAGUACCCGAAGAAAAAGCAUCGGCUAACUCCGUGCCAGCAGCCGCGGUAAUACGGAGGAUGCGAGCGUUAUCCGGAUUUAUUGGGUUUAAAGGGUGCGCAGGCGGAUUUUUAAGUCAGCGGUCAAAUCGUGGGGCUCAACCCCAUCCAGCCGUUGAAACUGGGGAU
rnacentral:rRNA from 1 species